GGAGGGUGUGUGGCUCAGUGGAAGAACAUCUACUCAGCAUGCAGGAGAUCCCUGGUUCGAUCCCAGGCAUCUCCA
rnacentral:tRNA from 1 species